CGGAGAGUGGGAGCUGGAGAGAGGUCACCCUGGAAUGCAGGCCUGGGCGCCCGACGGUCACCAUGAGUGGGCGAGCUGUCGAUUAAGGGUGAGGGAUGGCCAAGGACUGCCGAGGGCUGCCCACAUGGACACACAGUCACCACUGCCACCACUGCAGGGCGGGAAGCCCAGAGAACUUGGAAGUGGGAGGCCCAGGAAUUGGUCAGGCAACAUGGAGGGGCUGUGUGUGGUUAGCCUGGGGGCCGAUGGCCGAUGGCCACACCCACACUGGGGCUUCAGGGGGCAGUAGGGACGGCUGGGGCAGUAAGGGGCAGUGAGGCCCGGGUCAUCCUCUUCCCCGGAAGGCAGGGACAAUCCAGGAACAGACUAGGACACAUUGUGGGAGGAGGCCCCGAGGGUGACCAUGGUGGGACGGCUUGGGCAGCCUGGAGGGCAGGCUCUUGGUGAGUGUCCUCGCCGGCUCAGGCCCUCCCCGCCCCUCCCCCACCUGGUCUGCUGGGUGGGGUCUCGGGCCUCUGGACAGAGGGUCCUCGCAGACAUCCGAUGUCCUUGCCUCCUGCCACAUCCCAGGGCCAGGCACUUGGACACUUGACAGAUAGCUUGGAAUAAAGGGCAAAGAGAGCCAGGUGUCCUCAGCCUGGGGACAGCGAGGUGGGGACUCCUGAGCAGGUGCUGAAAAGCAGCCUGGCCCCCACUGUGAGAUGCCAGAAGCACUUUGUCACUAAAAAGUGAAAUGUCCCCAUGGGGGUGAGGACAGCCCAGCUGAGAAGGUGUGGACCAGACGCAGGGCAGGAGAGCCAGGCAUCCCCCCGAUGGACCGCAGCCAGGUGUGACCUGCUGCCCCAGCGGCUCACCAGGCAGGCAGCGUGGCUCACCUUCCCUGUUGGCACCUCACCUGGGAGGCAGCAGGCCCCCCGGGAACUCAGCACAGCAACCAAGAUUCUCCCAGGGCUGGGGUGCAGGGUGGGGUGCAGUCAGUGUGCAGGGCGGGGUACAGGUCGGGGU
rnacentral:lncRNA from 1 species